rnacentral:rRNA from 1 species
GAUGAACGCUGGCGGCGUGCCUAAUACAUGCAAGUCGAGCGAACAGACGAGGAGCUUGCUCCUCUGACGUUAGCGGCGGACGGGUGAGUAACACGUGGAUAACCUACCUAUAAGACUGGGAUAACUUCGGGAAACCGGAGCUAAUACCGGAUAAUAUAUUGAACCGCAUGGUUCAAUAGUGAAAGACAGUUUUGCUGUCACUUAUAGAUGGAUCCGCGCCGCAUUAGCUAGUUGGUAAGGUAACGGCUUACCAAGGCAACGAUGCGUAGCCGACCUGAGAGGGGGAUCGGGCCAAAUGGAACUGAGAACAGGUCCAGACUCCUAAGGGAGGGCGCAGUAGGGAAUCUUCCGCCAUGGGCGGAAGGCUUACGGAGCAACGCCGCGUGAGUGAUGAAGGUCUUUGGAUUGGAAAACCCUGUUAUUAGGGAAGAAAAAAUGUGGAAGUAACUAUGCACGUCUUGACGGUACCUAAUCAGAAAGCCACGGCUAACUACGUG